AUGGCACUCAAGAUUGAUAUGUCCAAGGCGUACGGCAGAUUGGAAUGGGAUUUCGUUACUGGAGUUUUAAGCUGUAUGGUGAGGCAAGAAAAUCGCAGGAGAAAGAUUCAUGGUAUCCAAGUAUCUAGGAAGGCUCCUGCCAUUUUGUUUUUUGCUAGGACAAAUGCUACUGAAGUGAAUUGCAUCAUGGAUAUUCUUCAAAGAUGCUAA